AUCGUAUUACAUCCGAGAUCUAUGUCGAGUGCGCGAGACAUUCGAGGAGUUCCGAUUGCUUUGAAAUCGGAAAAAUCAAGAUGUGCAUGAUACCAACAAGAAUGUGAACUUUUCAAAGAGCAUGAUAUUUCCCAGUUUUCCACAUCUUUAGAGCAACCACCACAAAUGUACUUGCAAGUACCCACAAAUGACAGCCAUAUUGACUCCAGUGGAUAAUAUUUACCUCCGUCAGCUGCUUACUAUACUGUACAUAGUGGUCAAACCAGGAUAUCCACUAAUUGCAUUCAGUGAUGUGAAUUGUCAUCUACAUUUGUGUUUAUGAACUUCAGUAAACUGUCAAGUUUUAAUAUGAAGAAAAUGACUGCUGAAAAGCAUCUAAUCUUGUGUUUUAUGAAUGUUUU